UAAGUCUCACUCAGUUUAUUACAUCUCAAACUUUUAUGUCAAGAUAAAAGGUAUAUCCCUAAAAAUGUGUAUCAAUUAAUGGAUCUAAAUUUAACUCUUUCUCUCCGUAAUUAUUUUCCACGUUUCGACGGUAUUCUUUAUUUUGCUCAGUAGUAUUUCACUCCACUGUUAUGAUUAAGCUUUAAUAAAUUUGUUGUUUGUCAGAAAAUGUUUUAUUUGGUAUAGAUUUAUAUAAGCCAAAGUAAAGUUUAUAAAAUCAAACAUUAAUUUUAUUUAAUGAGUUCAAAUCAACGUCAACGAGGAGAGAAAGAGUUAAGAAACCAGUUGCGUUACUGCUAGGCGGUCGGCAUUACGUCUUAGCGCAACCCCCCCCCCCCCCCCCCCCA